UACGUAGGCAGCAAGCGUUGUUCGGAGUUACUGGGCGUAAAGGGUGCGUAGGCGGCUUUUUAAGUUUGGUGUGAAAUCUCCCGGCUCAACUGGGAGGGUGCGCCGAAUACUGAGAGGCUAGAGUGUGGGAGAGGAAAGUGGAAUUCCUGGUGUAGCGGUGAAAUGCGUAGAUAUCAGGAGGAACACCGGUGGUGUAAACGGCUUUCUGGACCACUUCUGACGCUGAGACACGAAAGCGUGGGUAGCAAACAGG
rnacentral:rRNA from 1 species